rnacentral:rRNA from 1 species
GGCCUACCAUGGUUUUAACGGGUAACGGGGAAUUAGGGUUCGAUUCCGGAGAGGGAGCCUGAGAAACGGCUACCACAUCCAAGGAAGGCAGCAGGCGCGCAAAUUACCCAAUCCCAAUUCGGGGAGGUAGUGACAAUAAAUACUGAUACAGGGCUCUUCUGAGUCUUGUAAUUGGAAUGAGUACAAUUUAAAUCCCUUAACGAGGAACAAUUAGAGGGCAAGUCUGGUGCCAGCAAACCGCGGUAAUUCCAGCUCUAAUAGCGUAUAUUAAAGUUGUUGCAGUUAAAAAGCUCGUAGUUGAACUUCGGGACCGGUGGGUUGGUCGUGCCUCCGGUACGUACUGGUCUUACUGGUUCCUCCCUUCUGAAGAACCACGAUGUCAUUAAUUUGGUGUCGUGGGGAAUCAGGACUGUUACUUUGAAAAAAUUAGAGUGUUUAAAGCAGGCUAAAGCUUGAAUAGAUUAGCAUGGAAUAACGAAAUAGGACGUUUGAUCUUAUUUUGUUGGUUUCUAAGAUCGACGUAAUGAUUAAUAGGGAUAGUUGGGGGCAUUAGUAUUCAAUUGUCAGAGGUGAAAUUCUUGGAUUUAUUGAAGACUAACUACUGCGAAAGCAUUUGCCAAGGAUGUUUUCAUUAAUCAAGAACGAAAGUUAGGGGAUCGAAGACGAUCAGAUACCGUCGUAGUCUUAACCAUAAACUAUGCCGACUAGGGAUCGGAUGAUGUUAAUUUUUUAAUGACUCAUUCGGCACCUUACG